UACGUAGGGUGCGAGCGUUAAUCGGAAUUACUGGGCGUAAAGCGUGCGCAGGCGGCUUCGCAAGUCAGGCGUGGAAAUCCCCGGGCUUAACCUGGGAAUGGCGUCUGAAACUGACGGAGCUGGAGUGUGGCAGAGGGAGGUAGAAUUCCACGUGUAGCGGUGAAAUGCGUAGAUAUGUGGAGGAAUACCGAUGGCGAAGGCAGCCUCCUGGGCCAACACUGACGCUCAUGCACGAAAGCGUGGGGAGCAAACAGG
rnacentral:rRNA from 1 species